rnacentral:rRNA from 1 species
AUGAGGAAGACCGCUGGACACAAUGAAUACCCUAUUCUGGAACUGCUAGGGGGGGACCGCCGGACAGUUCGUGAGGUUUUGGCCCUCUCAAAAGCCAAUAACCCCAAGCUAGUUUUCCUUUGUGAAACUAGGCAAGCAUCAGUGAAAGUGGAGAAGUUGCGUUGGAGACUUGGUCUGAAAGGAUUUCAUGGAGUGGACAGUGAUGGUAGAAGUGGUGGCUUGGCACUUUUCUAG